GAUGAACGCUGGCGGCGUGCCUAAUACAUGCAAGUCGAGCGAACAGACGAGGAGCUUGCUCCUCUGACGUUAGCGGCGGACGGGUGAGUAACACGUGGAUAACCUACCUAUAAGACUGUGAUAACUUCGGGAAACCGGAGCUAAUACCGGAUAAUAUAUUGAACCGCAUGGUUCAAUAGUGAAAGACGGUUUUGCUGUCACUUAUAGAUGGAUCCGCGCCGCAUUAGCUAGUUGGUAAGGUAACGGCUUACCAAGGCGACGAUGCGUAGCCGACCUGAGAGGGUGAUCGGCCACACUGGAACUGAGACACGGUACAGACUCCUACGGGAGGCAGCAGUAGGGAAUCUUCCGCAAUGGGCGAAAGCCUGACGGAGCAACGCCGCGUGAGUGAUGAAGGUCUUCGGAUCGUAAAACUCUGUUAUUAGGGAAGAACAAAUGUGUAAGUAACUAUGCACGUCUUGACGGUACCUAAUCAGAAAGCCACGGCUAACUACGUG
rnacentral:rRNA from 1 species